GAUGAACGCUGGCGGCGUGCCUAAUACAUGCAAGUCGAGCGAACAGACGAGGAGCUUGCUCCUCUGACGUUAGCGGCGGACGGGUGAGUAACACGUGGAUAACCUACCUAUAAGACUGGGAUAACUUCGGGAAACCGGAGCUAAUACCGGAUAAUAUAUUGAACCGCAUGGUUCAAUAGUGAAAGACGGUCUUGCUGUCACUUAUAGAUGGAUCCGCGCCGCAUUAGCUAGUUGGUAGGGUAACGGCUUACCAAGGCAACGAUGCGUAGCCGACCUGAGAGGGUGAUCGGCCACACUGGAACUGAGACACGGUCCAGACUCCUACGGGAGGCAGCAGUAGGGAAUCUUCCGCAAUGGGCGGAAGCUUGACGGAGCAACGCCGCGUGAGUGAUGAAGGUCUUCGGAUCGUAAAACUCUGUUAUUAGGGAAGAACAAAUGUGUAAGUAACUAUGCACGUCUUGACGGUACCUAAUCAGAAAGCCACGGCUAACUACGUG
rnacentral:rRNA from 1 species